rnacentral:misc_RNA from 1 species
AGACAAGAAAUUCCAACCAGGAAAAAAGAGCGAUACACCAGUAUAUUAUAGAUAUAGGAGGAAUUAUAAGUUAUAGAAAUAACAGUUCCAGGGAAAAAGAAUCUCGAAGUCAGAUUCACUGUCCUACAGUAUUGGGGCUGAGUCACAAGAAACAAUGGGCGAGCAUAACUCUCUCUUCUUUGAGCACACACAUAAGAGAGAUCAUGACCAAGCCAUGCCACUGAUCUGCCACAGCCUCAGCUGUAACAAAAUAAGCCCUUCUGCUCAUGAAAACAAAGUUCCUAAAUGCU